rnacentral:rRNA from 1 species
AACGGCCACACCACUUUGUAAACACCGGUUCUCGUUCGAUCACCGUAGUUAAACAAAGUUGGGCGUGGUUAGUACUUGGAUGGGUGACCGCCUGGGAACCCCAUGUGCUGUU